CCUACGGGAGGCAGCAGUAGGGAAUAUUGGGCAAUGGAGGCAACUCUGACCCAGCCAUGCCGCGUGAACGAAGAAGGCGCUAUGCGUCGUAAAGUUCUUUUAGAGGGGGCGAAAACACUUGAUUCAUCAAGUACUGACGGUACCUUCGGAAUAAGCACCGGCUAACUCUGUGCCAGCAGCCGCGGUAAUACAGAGGGUGCAAGCGUUAUCCGGAAUCACUGGGUUUAAAGGGUGCGUAGGCGGGAUUAUAAGUCAGAGGUGAAAUCUCGUCGCUUAACGACGGAAUUGCCUUUGAUACUGUUUUUCUUGAAAUUUGUUGAGGUUGGCGGAAUGAGACAUGUAGCGGUGAAAUGCUUAGAUAUGUCUUAGAACACCGAUUGCGAAGGCAGCUGACUGGACAAUAUUUGACGCUGAGGCACGAAAGCGUGGGGAUCAAACAGGAUUAGAUACCCUGGUAGUCCACGCCCUAAACGAUGUUUACUUGCUGUUUGUUUUCGGAAUGAGUGGCGAAGCGAAAGCGAUAAGUAAACCACCUGGGGAGUACGCCCGCAAGGGUGAAACUCAAAGGAAUUGACGGCUGAGAGNGCGACGACGACGACGAGGGAGAGG
rnacentral:rRNA from 1 species